rnacentral:rRNA from 1 species
GACGAACGCUGGCGGCGUGCUUAACACAUGCAAGUCGAACGGAAAGGCCCAGCUUGCUGGGUACUCGAGUGGCGAACGGGUGAGUAACACGUGGGUGAUCUGCCCUGCACUCUGGGAUAAGCCUGGGAAACUGGGUCUAAUACCGGAUAUGACCAACUGUCGCAUGGUGGUUGGUGGAAAGCUUCUGCGGUGUGGGAUGGGCCCGCGGCCUAUCAGCUUGUUGGUGGGGUAAUGGCCUACCAAGGCGACGACGGAUAGCCGGCCUGAGAGGGUGAUCGGCCACACUGGGACUGAGACACGGCCCAGACUCCUACGGGAGGCAGCAGUGGGGAAUCUUGCGCAAUGGGCGGAAGCCUGACGCAGCAACGCCGCGUGAGGGAUGACGGCCUUCGGGUUGUAAACCUCUUUCGCGAUCGACGAAGGUCCAUCUUUGGGGUGGGCUGACGGUAGGUCGAGAAGAAGCACCGGCCAACUACGUGCCAGCCGCCGCCGUAAGAC